rnacentral:rRNA from 1 species
GAUGAACGCUGGCGGCGUGCCUAAUACAUGCAAGUCGAGCGAACGGACGCGAAGCUUGCUGCUCUGAUGUUAGCGGCGGACGGGUGAGUAACACGUGGAUAACCUACCUAUAAGACUGGGAUCACUUCGGGAAACCGGAGCUAAUACCGGAUAAUAUUUUGAACCGCAUUGUUCAAAAGUGAAAGACGGUCUUGCUGUCACUUAUAGAUGGAUCCGCGCUGCAUUAGCUAGUUGGUAAGGUAAUGGCUUACCAAGGCAACGAUGCAUAGCCGACGUGAGAGGGUGAUCGGCCGCACUGGAACUGAGACACGGACCAGACUCCUGCGGGAGGCAGCAGUAGGGAAUCCGCCGCAAUGGGCGAGAGUCUGACGGAGCAACGCCGCGUGAGUGAUGGAGGUCUUCCGAUCGUAAAACUCUGUUAUUAGGGAAGAACAUAUGUGUAAGUAACUGUGCACAUCUUGACGGUACCUAAUCAGAAAGCCACGGCUAACUACGUG